rnacentral:rRNA from 1 species
CCUACGGGAGGCAGCAGUGAGGAAUAUUGGUCAAUGGACGAGAGUCUGAACCAGCCAAGUAGCGUGAAGGAUGACUGCCCUAUGGGUUGUAAACUUCUUUUAUAUGGGAAUAAAAUGUUCCACGUGUGGGAUUUUGUAUGUACCAUAUGAAUAAGGAUCGGCUAACGCCGUGCCAGCAGCCGCGGUAAUACGGAGGAUCCGAGCGUUAUCCGGAUUUAUUUGGUGUAAAGGGAGCGUAGGUGGAUUGUUAAGUUAGUUGUGAAAGUUUGCGGCUCAACCGUAAAAUUGCAGUUGAUACUGGCAGUCUUGAGUACAGUAGAGGUGGGCGGAAUUCGUGGUGUAGCGGUGAAAUGCGUAGAUAUCACGAAGAAUGCCGAUUGCGAAGGCAGCUCACUGGACUGCAACUGACACUGAGGCUCGAAAGUGUGGGUAUCAAACAGGAUUAGAUACCCCUGUAGUC